UACGUAGGGUCCGAGCGUUGUCCGGAAUUAUUGGGCGUAAAGGGCUCGUAGGCGGUUUGUCACGUCGGGAGUGAAAACUCAGGGCUCAACCCUGAGCGUGCUUCCGAUACGGGCAGACUAGAGGUAUGCAGGGGAGAACGGAAUUCCUGGUGUAGCGGUGGAAUGCGCAGAUAUCAGGAGGAACACCGGUGGCGAAGGCGGUUCUCUGGGCAUUACCUGACGCUGAGGAGCGAAAGCGUGGGGAGCAAACGGG
rnacentral:rRNA from 1 species